rnacentral:rRNA from 1 species
UACGAAGGGUGCAAGCGUUACUCGGAAUUACUGGGCGUAAAGCGUGCGUAGGUGGUUUGUUAAGUCUGCUGUGAAAGCCCCGGGCUCAACCUGGGAAUGGCAGUGGAUACUGGCAAGCUAGAGUGCGGUAGAGGGGUGUGGAAUUCCCGGUGUAGCGGUGAAAUGCGUAGAGAUCGGGAGGAACACCAGUGGCGAAGGCGGCACCCUGGACCAGCACUGACACUGAGGCACGAAAGCUAGGGGAGCAAACAGG